UGGGCAAUAACUAAUACAUGUAUAGUACCGACGCAGUUAUAAGGACAGUGUUACCCAAAUACACACUGGUUUCUUACAAAAGACGUCGGCUGCUUUGGCUAUAAGGCUACUGGAGAGGGAGAGAGUGCUGGGGGGGGAAAAGGAUAGCGAAAAGGUUGGUGUGGAUGGAAAGAUUAUCACUGAAUCUGAUGAGACCCCUAAGGUCAAUGGCUUUGGCUUUGUGGCUACUCCUCAGAUACACCCAGACUAGAGACUGACAUCCUCCCCACCUCUGCCCCUGCCUUCAAGAUCAUGGACGUCUCCAAGAGAGAUGCUGUUGGAUUGAGACUGGCUGAGAGCGCGGCCAAAGCUACCAAAGAGAGCAGCUUCUCUGGCAGCCAGUCCCGCUGUGCUGAGGAAGAAGCUCGGAGCCACACCCACUGUCACUCAUCGGCUACAGAUGCUCUCCCCGGCUGCUCGUAAACUAGCCUCUCGUACUACUAUGGUGUGUAAUCAGUGCCAAAAUAGGAAUGCAAAAAUUAGAAGCAGAAGUUCACAAAAUUAUGACCACAACCCACAGAACUGCAACCACAACUGACAAAACUGUAACCACAAACUGGGUGCAUCAAUGAAACUGGAUGCACGGGCAGUGAUAGCUGUGGGCUUGAAAUGGGAAAGUACAUAUAGGAAAAAGUACAUAGGAAAUGAUUGGAAUUGAUUCAGUUACAUGGAAUGGAGACUUCGGGCACAUCAGAGGAUGUAAGACACACUUAACCUUUGGUGACCUUUUAAAAGGAGGCUAUAAAAAGAAAAGAGAAGAUGGAUGUUUCAUGCAUCAUACAAUUAUGAAAGCACUGCGGGUGCUGAUGCCACGGUGGAGGUGCCAAAGUCUCCAUUCCAUGUAACUGAAUCAAUUCCAAUCAUUUCCUAUGUACUUUCCCAUUUCAAGCCCACAGCUAUCACUGCCCGUGCAUCCAGUUUCAUUGAUGCACCCAUUUUUUGAGUUGUGGUUACAGUUUUGUUAGUUGUGGUUGCAGUUCUGUGGGUUGUGGUCAUAAUUUUGUGAACUUCUGCUUCGCAUUCCUAUUUUGGCACUGAUUACACACCAUAUACUACGACCCCCAGCACUCACCACGCCCUCAGAGCAAGCUACACACCCACACACAAGAGCAGUGGGUCCACCCCCAGACUGACCACGCCCACUACGGUUGCGACCACACCCGUUGGCUCCACCCCCUCACUAACAGACAAUCUACUCAAACUGUCUAGCAGAUAAAAUAAUCAUGAUUUUUGCUAUUCUGCACAUUGCACUGUUAUUAAAUAUUUGUUACACCUGUA